GAAAUCAGUUCGCACUGUUCGUCUCAUUACGACGAGCAAGAUGAAAGCGACGAAGAAAAUGUAAAUAAUACUGAAGUAGUUGACGGCACAACGGCAUUGCAACAAUUACUUGUUUCUGGUAGUGGGAAGAAAGAGCCCCCCAGGUCACAUUCUGGUCAAAGCGAACAAGAAGUUUCAAAUCCCGUUUGUUUAACGAACUAUUUUUCUCAAUAUAAUAAUAUUGAUGAAGUAUGUGGGCCGAAUAUUGAAGCCAGUCUGGCAGAAGCGGUAAAUAACAUGAUCAAACAUUAGCGUGUGCCAACCGAAAAAGGGACGUAACUCUUUUUUCUUAAUUGGCUGUCACAAAUAUGGCACUAUUUUUUCGCGAAAAGCUAGCCUUGCAUUACGGCCUCGUGUUGGUUACCUGCAAUCGAUACCGGUUCCAUUCAACCGAAAACAGUUAGUUAAGAGGUCAAGGUUGCUCCGCAUGCAAAAUUUAUCACUCGUAGCAAGCUGUCCACGAGAACAUGGAUAUUUCAUAGCUGUCCACGAGAACAUGGAUAUUUCAUAGCUGUCCAUGAGAACAUGUUUCCAGUUUCCAUUUAAUCAUCAAAAAACAAUUUCCACUAUUUUUAAUGAUUUUUUUUUAUAGUUAUUAUUUUUAUGUUUUUUCGGAACAAAAUAUGUCCAAUUUGCUUUAAAUUUUGUCAAAAUAAAAGGUAAAAACAAUAUUUUUGUGGUUGAUUUUAGUAAAUGUGUGUCUCUAGAACAUCUGUGUACAAUUUGAGUCUGUUCCAAAGUCAUUCAGUUAGUCAAAAUAUUAUUUUUUCAAUUUUGCCUGUUUUUGACGGAUUUUGGGAAAACGCUGCUUACGUAUGGGUAUAUAAAAUUA